rnacentral:rRNA from 1 species
GACGAACGCUGGCGGCGUGCUUAACACAUGCAAGUCGAACGGAAAGGCCCAGCUUGCUGGGUACUCGAGUGGCGAACGGGUGAGUAACACGUGGGUGAUCUGCCCCUGACUUUGGGAUAAGCCUGGGAAACUGGGUCUAAUACCGGAUAUGACCUUACAUCGCAUGGUGUUUGGUGGAAAGCUUUUGCGGUUGGGGAUGGGCCCGCGGCCUAUCAGCUUGUUGGUGGGGUAAUGGUCUACCAAGGCGACGACGGGUAGCCGACCUGAGAGGGUGAUCGGCCACACUGGGACUGAGACACGGCCCAGACUCCUACGGGAGGCAGCAGUGGGGAAUAUUGCACAAUGGGCGCAAGCCUGAUGCAGCGACGCCGCGUGAGGGAUGACGGCCUUCGGGUUGUAAACCUCUUUCACCAGGGACGAAGCGUGAGUGACGGUACCUGGAGAAGAAGCACCGGCCAACUACGUG